rnacentral:lncRNA from 1 species
GCAGCGCAGCCUCUGCAAGGGGAGGCGCGCGAGGCGGCGCGGGAGCGCGCGGAGCGGGUGCGCAGAAGACUGGAGGAGGCGGAGCGCCACAAGGAGUACUUGGAGCAGCACAGCAGGCAGCUGCAGGAGCAGUGGGAGGAGCUGUCGAGUCAGCUCUUCUACUACGGAGGGGAACUGCAGAGCCAGAAGAGCACGGAGCAGCAACUCGCAGCCCAAUUGGUGACGCUGCAGAAUGAACUGGAGCUGGCGGAGACCAAAUGCGCCUUGCAGGAGGAGAAGCUGCAGCAGGACGCGCUGCAGACAGCGGAGGCCUGGGCCAUAUUCCAGGAGCAGACCGUAGUCCUGCAGGAGGUGCAGGUGAAGGUGAUGGAGGCUGCGGAGGAGCUGGACG